rnacentral:rRNA from 1 species
UACGGAGGAGGCAAGCGUUAUCCGGCAUUAUUGGGCGUAAAGCGUCCGCAGGUGGCACUUCAAGUCUGCUGUCAAAGCGCAGAGCUUAACUCUGUACAGGCGGUGGAAACUGAAGAGCUAGAGUAUGGUAGGGGUAGAGGGAAUUCCCGGUGUAGCGGUGAAAUGCGUAGAUAUCGGGAAGAACACCAGUGGCGAAAGCGCUCUACUGGGCCAUAACUGACACUGAGGGACGAAAGCUAGGGGAGCGAAAGGG